rnacentral:rRNA from 1 species
CCUACGGGUGGCAGCAGUGGGGAAUAUUGGGCAAUGGACGCAAGUCUGACCCAGCAACGCCGCGUGAAGGAAGAAGGCUUUCGGGUUGUAAACUUCUUUUAAGGGGGACGAGCAGAAGACGGUACCCCUUGAAUAAGCCACGGCCAACUACGUGCCAGAAGGCGGGGUAAUACGUAGGUGGCAAGCGUUGUCCGGAUUUACUAGGUGUAAAGGGCGUGCAGCCGGGAAGACAAGUCAGAUGUGAAAUCCCAAGGCUCAACCUGUGAACUGCAUUUGAAACUGUUUCUCUUGAGUAUCGGAGAGGGCAUCGGAAUGCCUAGUGUAGCGGUGAAAUGCGUAGAUAUUAGGAAGAACACCAGUGGCGAAGGCGGAUGACUGGACGACAACUGACGGUGAGGCGCGAAAGCGUGGGGAGCAAACAGGAUUAGAUACCCUGGUAGUC